rnacentral:rRNA from 1 species
GCAAGUCGAGCGGAAACGAUCCUAGCUUGCUAGGAGGCGUCGAGCGGCGGACGGGUGAGUAACACGUGAGAACCUGCCCAUUAGUGGGGGAUAACCUGGGGAAACCCAGGCUAAUACCGCAUAAUCCCUACGGGGGAAAGCAGGGGACCUUCGGGCCUUGUGCUGAUGGAUGAGCUCGCGUCGGAUUAGCUUGUUGGUGAGGUAAUGGCUCACCAAGGCGACGAUCCGUAGCUGGUCUUAGAGGAUGAUCAGCCACACCGGGACUGAGACACGGCCCGGACUCCUACGGGAGGCAGCAGUGGGGAAUCUUGGACAAUGGGGGCAACCCUGAUCCAGCCAUGCCGCGUGUGUGAAGAAGGCCUUCGGGUUGUAAAGCACUUUCAGUAGGGAGGAAGGCUUAUCCUUAAUACGGAUGAGUACUUGACGUUACCUACAGAAGAAGCACCGGCUAAUUUCGUGCCAGCAGCCGCGGUAAUACGAAAGGUGCGAGCGUUAAUCGGAAUUACUGGGCGUAAAGCGCGCGUAGGCGGUUUGCUAAGUCAGAUGUGAAAGCCCCGGGCUCAACCUGGGAACUGCAUUUGAAACUGGCAGGCUAGAAUGCAGUAGAGGGAGGUGGAAUUUCCGGUGUAGCGGUGAAAUGCGUAGAGAUCGGAAGGAACACCAGUGGCGAAGGCGGCCUCCUGGACUGACAUUGACGCUGAGGUGCGAAAGCGUGGGGAGCAAACAGGAUUAGAUACCCUGGUAGUCCACGCCGUAAACGAUGUCUACUAGUCGUUGGGAAUCUUAGUAUUCUUGGUGACGAAGUUAACGCGAUAAGUAAACCGCCUGGGGAGUACGGCCGCAAGGUUAAACUCAAAUGAUUGACGGGGGCCCGCACAAGCGGUGAGCAUGUGUUUAUUCGAUGCACGCGAGACCUUACCAGGCCU